AAGUCCGUAGUUUACAUUAAGGAAGACUCCUGAUGUUGUACACUCUAUGGAUUCUACAAAUGUAUAAUGGUACGAAUCCUGGAAGUGGAAAGGAAGGGGCAUGAAUUUCGGAAAUGGGGAAGAAGAAGAAACGACAGCAACUAGAUGUCAUAAUUUACAGCAGCAGAUGUGAAGCAAGUUUUUGGAUUAUGGCCAGUGGAAAGAAAGCAUGCCAGACAGCUAAUGGGAGGCAAGAGUAGUGUGACAUGUGGAUGGACUGGAGGGCAGGGUAAAUGCUGGAGGGGCUCCAAUUUGGAAGUGUUACAUUAUCAAGUUAAAUCAUAAGAGCAAUUUAUAAAAGAGAUAGCUUGGAAUUAAACUACAAAAGCUGCUUAAGGUAAAAUAUGCGAGGGAACUCUCUUGUUGCCAUUGUGAGACCCUGGAGAACAGAUGGAACCAACUCUCAAGCUUCUGCUCGGGCAGAAAUAAAGAUGUUCUUUGAAACCAACGAGAACAAAGACACAACAUACCAGAAUCUCUGGGACACAUUCAAAGCAGUGUGUAGAGGGAAAUUUAUAGCACUAAAUGCCCACAAGAGAAAGCAGGAAAGAUCCAAAAUUGACACCCUAACAUCACAAUUAAAAGAACUAGAAAAGCAAGAGCAAACACAUUCAAAACCUAGCAGAAGGCAAGAAAUAACUAAAAUCAGAGCAGAACUGAAGGAAAUAGAGACACAAAAAACCCUUCAAAAAAUUAAUGAAUCCAGGAGCUGCUUUUUUGAAAGGAUCAACAAAAUUGAUAGACCGCUAGCAAGACUAAUAAAGAAGAAAAGAGAGAAGAAUCAAAUAGAUGCAAUAAAAAAUGAUAAAGGGGAUAUCACCACCGAUCCCACAGAAAUACAAACUACCAUCAGAGAAUACUACAAACACCUCUACACAAAUAAACUAGAAAAUCUAGAAGAAAUGGAUAAAUUCCUCAACACAUACACCCUCCCAAUACUAAACCAGGAAGAAGUUGAAUCUCUGAAUAGACAAAUAACAGGCUCUGAAAUUGUGGCAAUAAUCAAUAGCUUACCAACCAAAAAGAGUCCAGGACCAGAUGGAUUCACAGCCGAAUUCUACCAGUGGUACAAGGAGAAACUGGUACCAUUCCUUCUGAAACUAUUCCAAUCAAUAGAAAAAGAGGGAAUCCUCCCUAACUCAUUUUAUGAGGCCAGCAUCAUCCUGAUACCAAAGCCGGGCAGAGACACAACCAAAAAAGAGAAUUUUAGACCAAUAUCCUUGAUGAACAUUGAUGCAAAAAUCCUCAAUAAAAUACUGGCAAACUGAAUCCAGCAGCACAUCAAAAAGCUUAUCCACCAUGAUCAAGUGGGCUUCAUCCCUGGGAUGCGAGGCUGGUUCAAUAUAUGCAAAUCAAUAAAUGUAAUCCAGCAUAUAAACAUAACCAAAGACAAAAACCACAUGAUUAUCUCCAUAGAUGCAGAAAAGGCCUUUGACAAAAUUUGGCACUCUUGUUCUUUCAAAUAAAUCUUUUUUCCUACCCUGCUGA
rnacentral:lncRNA from 1 species